UACGAGGGGGGCAAGUGUUGUUCGGAAUCACUGGGCGUAAAGGGAGCGUAGGCGGAUGUUUAAGUUGGAUGUUUAAAACCGGGGCCUAACCUCGGAGCGGCAUCCAAAACUGGGCAUCUUGAAUAGGUCGGAGGCUGGUGGAAUUGGAGGUGUAGCGGUGGAAUGCGUAGAGAUCUCCAAGAACACCUAUUGCGAAGGCAGCCAGCUGGGACCAUAUUGACGCUGAGGCUCGAAAGCAUGGGGAGCAAACAGG
rnacentral:rRNA from 1 species